CUCGCAUGAUAUAAAGUUAAUAUAAAUUUGAUUUAUAACAAUGUUUCAAGUAAAAAUAUAGAAUCUUCAUGCCUUGAAAAUCUGGUCCCAUGCAUUGUUGCUGCCACCGUGUGUUAUCCUUUGUCCAGUCUAUCUCUAAAAAAAUUUUUCUUAAAGAAAAGGAAAAGAAAAAACCCUACCCCACCCAAACACCCUAGACCCAUCUUCAACCGCACGUGUCCCUCCCAACUCACCCUCCACGCUUGCUCCUAUGCAGCGCUGUCAACAGAAAGAGUUCUGUAAGGAAGCACAGAGCAACACAAACAAUAUGCAGAACGACAGAAAUGUUACUAAACAGAAAUAAACAUAGUAGAAGACAACAUAGCACAAUUAUAUUAACAUUCAUAAGCAACGACAGAUAGUGUAUAUACAACUCAAGUUGCUUAUCUGAGAAAGAUACAUUUCAGAUGAAUGAUGUUGGUUACAUGUCAAUGGCGAAAGUCAUCCGUGCAAAGGUUUUGUUUAUUGCUACCUGUGGCGGGUUGUUAGCAGACAAUAUUUAUUGUUAUGCCCCCUUACACAUAUUAAUCGAUGGAGUGAAUCAUAACUUAAUCUAGAGGCAUGAAAAACCUUAAAAUAGAUAGGCUCUUGGUAAGUAUGUCCGCAAUUUGAAAUUGAGUUGCCUGGUGAUGAAUGACAAGUGUUUUGGAGGCUAUGUGAUCAUAAAUGAAAUGGAAGUCCAUCUCUAUAUGGUUGGUGCAGGCAUGAAAAAUUAUAUUAUUUGCAAUGACAAUUACAAAUGUAUUAUCGAAGUGGAGAGGAGGAGUUUGCUAUGUAGAUAAACCGACUUGCAGAAGGUGACAAACUGGUAAGAUCUAGUCUUGGUUGCUCUGUUCAUGGUACUGUAGCAAGUAGUGGAGAUUUAAUUUUUUCCAGUCAAAUCUUCGUGCAACGGCUGAUGCUAAUUAAAGGUUGAGAAUGAUUUAAGUUUGGAAGCCAAAACAGAGAGCAAACGGAAGGGGUAAGCGGGAAGGGGAAUGAAGAAAUAUGAAGAAGAGAAACAGGG